GAUGAACGCUGGCGGCGUGCCUAAUACAUGCAAGUCGAGCGAACAGACGAGGAGCUUGCUCCUCUGACGUUAGCGGCGGACGGGUGAGUAACACGUGGAUAACCUACCUAUAAGACUGGGAUAACUUCGGGAAACCGGAGCUAAUACCGGAUAAUAUAUUGAACCGCAUGGUUCAAUAGUGAAAGACGGUUUUGCUGUCACUUAUAGAUGGAUCCGCGCCGCAUUAGCUAGUUGGUAAGGUAACGGCUUACCAAGGCAACGAUGCGUAGCCGACCUGAGAGGGUGAUCGGACACAAUGGAACUGAGACACGGUCAAGACUCCUAAGGGAGGCAGCAGUAGGGAAUCUUCCGCAAUGGGCGAAAGCCUGACGGAGCAACGCCGCGUGAGUGAUGAAGGUCUUCGGAGCGUAAAACUCUGUUAUUAGGGAAGAACAAAUGUGUAAGUAACUAUGCACGUCUUGACGGUACCUAAUCAGAAAGCCACGGCUAACUACGUG
rnacentral:rRNA from 1 species